rnacentral:rRNA from 1 species
CGGCGGACGGGUGAGUAACGCGUGGGUAACCUACCCUGUACACACGGAUAACAUACCGAAAGGUAUGCUAAUACGGGAUAAUAUAUUUGAGAGGCAUCUCUUGAAUAUCAAAGGUGAGCCAGUACAGGAUGGACCCGCGUCUGAUUAGCUAGUUGGUAAGGUAACGGCUUACCAAGGCGACGAUCAGUAGCCGACCUGGGAGGGUGAUCGGCCACAUUGGAACUGAGACACGGUCCAA